rnacentral:rRNA from 1 species
AGAUUGAACGCUGGCGGCAGGCCUAACACAUGCAAGUCGAGCGGCAGCACGGGUACUUGUACCUGGUGGCGAGCGGCGGACGGGUGAGUAAUGCCUAGGAAUCUGCCUGGUAGUGGGGGGAUAACGCUCGGAAACGGACGCUAAUACCGCAUACGUCCUACGGGAGAAAGCAGGGGACCUUCGGGCCUUGCGCUAUCGGAUGAGCCUAGGUCGGAUUAGCUAGUUGGUGAGGUAAUGGCUCACCAAGGCGACGAUCCGUAACUGGUCUGAGAGGAUGAUCAGUCACACUGGAACUGAGACACGGUCCAGACUCCUACGGGAGGCAGCAGUGGGGAAUAUUGGACAAUGGGCGAAAGCCUGAUCCAGCCAUGCCGCGUGUGCGAAGAAGGUCUUCGGAUUGUAAAGCACUUUAAGUUGGAGGAAGGCAGUUACCUAAUACGUAUCUGUUUGACGUUACGACAGAGUAAGCACCGGCUAACGUCUGUCGACCAGCA